UGGUGUUUGCUAAACCACUAAGAGAAAUGAACUGGUCACCAUGAUGGACCCUUUCCACAUCAAGUAUGGACCAGUUCUGACAGCUGGACUGAGUCUGGCCUCAAUCUCUCUUGAUAUACUGUGUCAAGCAUUAAUACUGAUUUGUUUAGGAGGCACCAUGAGUGUGGUUCUGGAUUUGCCCUACACUCUGUGUAUCUGGAUCUCUGCUGCAGUGGUCAUCAUCUACACUCUGCUGGGAGGUCUCUACUCUGUGGCCUACACUGAUAUUAUUCAGCUUCUUCUUAUAUUCAUUAGCUUGUGGCUGUGUGUUCCCUUUGUCUUGAUGAACCCUAACUGCUUGGAGAUCAGCGAGACACUGUGUGUGUGUGUGUCUGUGUG